rnacentral:ncRNA from 2 species
GGUUGGGCGUAAGCUUUCAAGACAUACUUUCCAAGGGUGAGGAAAG